AAUAGUAUGCAGGCUAAGUAAUCUGCAUUGUAGGCAUCAAACUGUCUAUGCAUGGAAGAUUUGAAGUUUUCAAAAAGUCGUUAACAUAUAGUUACUGCUACCAUGCACAGAAGAACAGAUCAUCUCAGUUCAUUCAUUGAACAGAAUGUAUAUGCUCAAAUGUUGCUUCACAUUGACAUAAACAUAAUAACAACAAUUCUACUUUUAAUAUCCGGGUCAGAACUGUUGCUGUUUUCCGAACCAUGCACAACAAAAACAAUCCAAAAAUUCUUGACAGGAUUCCCGGUACCCAGUAAUAUGAGAAGUUCCAUACUAAAUAAUCUCUGCUUCAAACAUGUCUAUGUAAACCUACUGCCUUCAUAAUAAAAAAUUUUCUUCCUUUUCAACUGCAUAUUUCAGAUAAAAAAAAAUCUGAUGGAGUUAUAACAUUAUGAUUCAUACGAGAACUCACCAAGGAGCUGCAACCAAGGUAGCAAAGUUAAAUCUUGCUUCCAGAAUGCUUUCUUUGAAUUUAUCUGAAGUCCUUUGUAAUUCAGCUACUUUGAAGGCUUCCAUCUCUUUCUUCUCCUUGAGCAUUUGGAUGUCCUUGUCCAACAGCGCAAUUAUGCUGUUCAUAGCUUUCUUUGAUUUGUAGCAAUUUAACCAAUUGAGUUCGUAUUGGAUAGCUUUCUUUGAUUUGUAGCAAUUUAACCAAUUGAGUUCGUAUUGGCUCAACGGUGAAACCAUAUCCUUCUAUAAUUUGUUGCGUGUAACUUCAACCAACUUUGCAAAACUCAACAUGAGCCCUAUGGCAGCCCCUUCACGGAGAUACUCAUCCAAAACUCAACAUGAGCCCUAUGGCAGCCCCUUCACGGAGAUACUCAUCCUGUUCCUUCAGGGGAUUAAAAUGUGGUUGUUGUGGCAUAGACCGAAAGACUUCCAUGGACCCAAGCUGUGGCCACAUAAAUGAGCUCUUGAUGAAAGGAAAACCGCUCUCUAGAGAUGAAGGCUCAGGACUUGGUUGCCUAGAUGUGGCUGCUGCAACAUCAACUGAUAUGUGCUGAGCCAUUUGAUUUUCUCUUGCAUUAAUACCAAAAUCAUUAAAAGUAUUGCAUUUCUUCACCCAAGAUGAAUUUUCAACCACAUUUGAUGACUCGGGGGAUUCAGGGCUUCUCGAUGCAUCACUCAGGUUGACUUCCUCAUUUGGUGUGACCUCAUCGUCAAAGUGGAAUCCUACAAAGAUACGUUGAUGAUCAGGCUAUUUAGUUUUAGACUUUUAGUAUGACACCACAAACUGAUUUAUAUUACCUUCGCUGUCUUUCUCUAAAUGAGAACUGAACUUUUCAAGACACACAGAUACAGGUUGAUGCUCCUGUGCAGAACAGCUGAAUGAUUUGGAGCAUUCUGUGUGGAUUACUUCUAAUGCUUCAUUGCUGGCAACAUUGCUUUCAAAACCUACAAAAUUACACAGGUUGUACAUGCCCAUAAAUGAUCUUCAUUGUCUUUUACUACAAGGAAUCAAAAUUCUCAAGGAACAAGAAGAUGAUGUUAUGGAUCAAUAUUUUGUACCUCCAACUGAUGCCAUUUCGUCUGAACCUUCUGAUUGUCGUGUUUUCUCUUGUCCUACAUGACAUGAAAAAAAUCAUUAGAUGUGAUCCCCCCAAUUAGUGUAACAACUGAUAGAGAAGGCAAAUUAAUUUUAUUAAUUCCACAAAAACAGAAGGAACAAGAAAAUGAGGUUAUAGUUCAAUACGUAUUUUGUACCUCCAACUGAUGCCAUUUCGCCCGAACCUUCUGAUUGUCGUGUUUUCUCUUGUCCUACAUGUCAUGAAAAGAAAUCAUUAGUUGUGAUCCCCCUAAUUAGUGUAACAACUGAUUGAGAAGGCAAAUUAAUUUUAUUACUUCCACAACAACAAAAGGAACAAGAAGAUGAGGUUAUGGUUCAAUACUUUGUACCUCCAUCUGAUGCCAUUUCGCCCGAACCAUCUGAUUGUCGUUUUUUCUCUUGUCCUACAUGACAUAAAAAAAAUCAUUAGUUGUGAUCCCCGUAAUUAGUGUAACAACUGAUUGAGAAGGCAAAUUAAUUUUAUUACUUCCACAACAAGAGUUACAGAAGUGGCAAGGCUGUGAUCAUUUUUGACUUCAGCAACGAGAACCGAGAAGAGCUUGUUUUGGUAAGUUCUAAAAAUAGCUAAGAAUUUUUUUUCUUUUUGUGAAUUCCAGAAAGUAAAAUAGGCCAAAAUUAAUGUCAACAUGAAUACGAUUGUGGGGCAUAAUACCACGUAAAUAUUUUUUUUUUCUUCUCAUAAACAAUAUUUUCUCCUAACCAUUUCCCGAAGUUUUGCCAAAAGCUUUUUGUAAACGAAAAGCUCUAGCUGUUAAGAAACAGUAGUGCCCAGUUUGAAGUGGCUCUGCCUAAUUAAAGAAGUGAUGAAACCACUCGUCCACAUAUCAGCAUGGACAUGUGGAUGAAGAACCCUGCUUAAAGUUUAGUUUUAGGAACACUGCAUAGAAGGUGAUACUCAAACAGAACAAGUUGAUACUUAAUACAGUAUAUAGUAAUUGUGAUGAGGUAUUGAUAUUGAUAGCUUUUAUAACUUGUUGAGAGACAUUUGAGACUUUGAGUAUACAGCCUUCGAAAUAAAUGUUUAUGUAUCUUAUAACAUUUAUGUGCAUAAAGUACAGAAGGGAAUUUGAACGAAAUGUAAAGACACUUGUGAGACACAUCAGUUAAUCAAAAAAAUUAGUUGUGCACAGAAGAAGAAAGUAUCAAUCUGGCAUGCAUGACAAAAGAUUAUUGGUUUUCAAACGUCGUUUCCAUUAAUAAAAUUAAUAGAAAACAUUUAAGUUGUGUUUUGUUUUGUAGUUUAAGUAAAGGAAUUUCCCAUAACAUAACAACAGUCAAUUUAACAGUUAAGUCAGGUCUGCUAUAUGCUCUCUAAACCAUUCCAUGCACAUCAAAAAACGAUUAUAUAGGUCAUUAAAAGUGUUCUUUUCGCCAGACUAAAUAAAUUCUCAACAAUAUUUCAUAUCAGGAAAUCUGAGGCUCUUUGUUGACUCAUAGUGAUUGCUUAAUUGUCACCAGCUCGUCAAGUGAAACUCAUACAGAAUGAAAAUCAUGAUCAAUUUAAUUAAUAUAACAAGGAAAGCUAUCGCAAAUUCUUUUAUAGUACCUCUGUUGUCUUUCACAAUAGACUCUAAGAGGCACGAAGAAAGAUUUUGAUGCUCUGUCUCUUGUGUGCAUUUGGUCUGGACAACUUCUGUUGUUUCUUUGCUAGCAGCUUGACUGUCAGGGCCUACAAAAUGACAGAAUGGAUGUAUCUGAAUAUUGAUUACCUCCGUCGUCUUUCACUAUAAGAGAACCAGAUUUUCUGUAGCAACAUAUGAUGACUCUAUGUUUCAACAUUUCUGUACCUUCCACUGAUGCUCUUAAGCCUGGAUCUUUUAGUUGUCGUCUUCUCCUUUUUCCUACAUGACACAAACAAACUCAUGAUCAACCAAUUUCCUUUAACAAAGGUUACAGAGUGAUUCUAGAUUACCUCCACUGUAUAAACGUGUCCUUAGUAAGGCACCUACAGUCCAGUGGCGUCGACAAUCUUUACAAAAGUGAACAGGCUUUGACCCAUUUUGAAGUUGAUAGUAAACAAACUUUGUAUUGAUAGAUUCACAGCGUGGACAUUUCAAUGCCACCUGACACAUGGAAGCUUGAUUGGCCAUAGAUGUUUCAGGUUGUUGUAUUCUCCUUUCUCCUACACAACAGAAGAUAAUCAUGAUUAAAUUGUUUCAUUAACAAAGGUUGUAAAGUAAUUCUGAAUUACCCCAUUUAGAGAAGCCCUUAGUUUCUCACCUACAGUCCAAUAGUGUAGACAAUUGUUACAAAAGUGAACAGGCUUUGACCUUUUUUGAUCUUGAUAGUAAGCAAACUUCGUAUUUGUAGAUUCACAGCGUGGACAUGUCAAUGCUACCUGAGACAUCGAAGCUUGAUUGGCAAUAGAACUUUCUGGCUUUAGUCUUUUCUUUCUAGCUGCAUGGCAUGAAGAAUUGAAGAUACUCGUGAUUAAAUUGUUUCAUCAUUAAUAUAGGUUAUAAAGUGAUUCAUGAUUACCUCCAUAAGCGUUUUGUCUGCCACCUACACUCCAUUGGCGUCGACAAUCAUUACAAAAGUGGCAAGGCUUUGACUUAUCUCUGUGUUGAUAGUAAGAAAACUUCGUAUUCAUAGAUUCACAGCGUGGACAUUUCAAUGCUACCUGAAACAUCGAAGCUUGAUUGGCCAUAGAACUUUCUGGCUUUAGUCUUUUCUUUCUAGCUGCAUGGCAUGAAGAAUUGAAGAUACUCGUGAUUAAAUUGUUUCAUCAUUAAUAUAGGUUAUAAAGUGAUUCAUGAUUACCUCCAUAAGCGUUUUGUCUGCCACCUACACUCCAUUGGCGUCGACAAUCAUCACAAAAGUGGCAAGGCUUUGACUUAUCUCCGUGUUGAUAGUAAGAAAACUUCGUAUUCAUAGAUUCACAGCGUGGGCAUUUCAGUGCUAACUGAGACAUCGAAGCUUGAUUGGCCAUAGAACUUUCUGGCUGUAGUCUUUUCCUACCACCUGCAUGGCAUGAAGAUAUUCAUGAUUAAAUUGUUUCGUUAAUGAAGGUUAAAAAGUGAUUUGGGAUUACCUUCACAAACCAAUAGUUUGGCACCUACAGUCCAUUGACGUUUACAAUCAUGACAAAAGUGGCAAGGCUUUGACUUAUCUCGAUUUUGAUAGUAAGCAAACUUGGUAUUUGUAGAUUCACAGCGUGGGCAUUUGAGUCCCACCCGAGCAUGAUCAGGCGCAGAAUUAUCUGGUUGUGGUCUUUUUCCUUGUCCUUGAAAAUAUGAAGACACUCGUAAGCACCCUAAUUAGUUGAACAAGGAAUUACAAAAUUGAGUCCAGAGUUGAGAUUACCUUCACCAACUGCAACUGGAAUAUCCCUCAAUUCACCAUUAACAAUCCAACUUUGUCGACAAUCAUUACAGUAAUGACAAGGCUGGGAUUCCUGCUGAUUUUGGUAGUAAGAGAACCUUGUAUUAGUAGAUUGACAUUUUGGACAUUUAAGUGCCACCUUAUUGAUCAAGGCUUGACCAUCUUCCACAUCCAUAGAAACAUGAUUCAUUGAUUCCAUUUCACCCAUCUGUUGAAAGCUGAAGACUUUAGAAAAUGAGUCCAUUGCUACUACGUACUACUUCCUUGUUGAUAAUACUGUAUAUAUAUUUUCCGUAAUAAUAAAUUAAUAAUGAUAAUACACCAACACAAAUCAAAUAUUUUAUGCAGUAACAGUUGAGGGGUCUGCCUAAGUAAUCAAGUAAUCCCAACUUACUUCAAAAUAAAAAAAAAUAAAAAUAAAAAACCAAAGCUUAUGAUAAUUUCAUAAUGUAGAAAGAAGAAACCUAAAUGAAAUGUUUUUGAUGUUUAAAUGAACAAAACCCAAGCUUGGAAAACAAAGUUAAUGGAACAAAACCCAAUGAUAAAUACUAAAAUGUAUGAAUAUCUUUGAACUAGCUAGUACCUGGCUUUUGAGAAAUCCUUAGAGAGAAGAUAAGACCACAAACUAAAAACCCCUGAAAUUUCUAGAGAUAUUUUGUUUUGCUUUGUUGAAGAUGAAGAAGAAGAAGAAGAAGAACAUUUAAAUAUUUAAUAAAGCCAAAUGUCAAAGGUUUUGGGGAAAAAGUAAAUGCAAGGUAAGCAUGAGCAGAAGUCAGAACUGCAGAAGCUUGUCAGAAGCUAUUAAAAACCGAGUCGACUAGGCCGGCCGGUUCAUAUUUACUUUUGUUUUACGAGAUUUUGGAUAUACCCUUAAUUUGAAAUUAGAAAUUUAAUUAGUGAUACCCCCAUAUUGAGAGUCAAGAUGGUCAACUCAACAUUGACCAAUCUUCCAUUGAUGAAGUUUGAUGUUGUUAUGUUGAUCACCAGAAGCUUUAGUCAAUGGAAUAGUGUGGUUAACACUUAACACAUCAUUUGUUGCUUUGAUCAAUGCCAACAUGGUGCAAAAGUUGUCAUUGCACCAUGAAUUAAGUACAGGGUCCUCAGUGAAGCACCAUCACUAGUCCACCACCACCACCAUCACCAUCACAAAACUCAUAAUCAAUAUAUCUAAAGUUGGGUUUUUCCAAUCUGACAUCUGGGUAUGUUUAUUCUUUCUUACUGAUUUUUAUUUAAGUUAUCAAUAUUUAUUUAUAAUGGUUUGCAAUUUGUUCACUUUAUCAAUACAUUAUAGUAUUAUACAUGUGUGCUUUUAUUUCUCCUUUUUUUUUUUCUUAAUUAUUUUUGCUCAUUUGAUUGGGAUAUUGAGAACUUGGAACCAAAUGCUAUUGUUUUGAGCAUACUUCUUAGGGGGAUUUUCAUGGAAGGUAAUAACGGCAUUUCAGGUUAAUGGAAAGAAGCAACGGGAUUGUUCAAAGAAAUGGUAAGUCGAGGAAUCUCACCAGAGGUACAAACAUAUAGUGUUGUAAUUGAUUCUCUUUGUAAAGAAGGUAUGAUCAGUAUAGCCCAUGUAAUGUUCAAGAUGAUGAUAGAGAGAUGUGAGGAGCCGGACAUAGUCCCAUAUAACAGUUUGCUGAAUGGAUAUUGUGUGCAAGGGAAACUGAAAGAGGGGAUUUUUUUUUUUUUUUUUUUUUGAUUCUAUGGUUGCUAGUGGUCACUAUCCAAAUAUUGUUAGUUAUAGCAUUUUGAUUAAUGGCUAUCGCAAGGCUAGUAGGAUGGAUGAGGCAGUCCAACUUUCCAAGGCUAUGCAAUGCUAGGGAUUAACACUUAGCAAUAAUUUUUACCCUUAUAGGUGGACUUUGCAAGAUUGUUUAAAAGGGUUUGCAGCAACAGAUCUUCUGAAAGACAUGCUAGCUAAUGGAGAAAGCCAGAUUUGUUCACCUAUAGUGACAUAAAUGAUGGACUUUGUUAUACUGACUAUUUUACACACACGAAGAGUUGUUCUCCAUGUGAUGGAUGAAGCUCCAGAUGAUUUGAUAACCUUUCUCUAUUUUCAGUGAAAAUGAUAGAGGAAGGUUUGGCUCCAGAUGACUUCACAUCCUCUAUUCUUAAUCUAUGGAUUCUUGUCCAAGAGAAUAGUAAAUGAAGUUCGUCGUAUUUGCAGACAAAUGAUAAGGAAAGGCUUGGCUUCAGAUGACUUCACAUAUAAUAUCCUAGUAUCCCAAUCUAGUGAUUCUUUCUCCAAGAGAAUGAUACCUGUAACACAAUGCUUCGCAAAACUAUGAUUGAGACAGGGUGUUGGGACUGUGUCUAUUUGGGUGAAUUUGCUUAUGGUUGUUGUUUCAAAUUGUUGGAGAUGCUUCUUAAGUUCUUGUCAGAUGACUUUGAAAAGGUAUUUCACUAAUUUGUAUAUUUGCUAUCUGUUAGUUAGAACACUGUUAUGUUUGUUCUUCUCUGAUUUUGUUAUGUUUGUUCGUCUUUGAUUUUGUCAGACUAUUCUCUGAACUUUCUAUGUUUAUUCUUUUGGACGAAGUUGACAACCAGAUCUACAUCCUAAGCCAUAUAAAUCAAUAUCCACUGUUGACCUGUUAGUGUAUAUUAAUAUUAACAAACUGCACGAUAUAAAUGUCUAGCCAAACGGAGUUUUUGUUGAUUGGUGUAGUAAAAGAUAAUCUUUGUGUUCAUGAAACAGAUGUUUAAAGAGCGAGUGCAAUUGACCAGUAUAUUCUUUUCAAAGUUUGGCAUGCUGUCAAUAAUAGGCUGGCGCAAAUGUGCAUUGCAUUCCAGAUCCUUACAACUUUUGUAUAUCUGUUGUGAAGGUCAUUGCGGAAGUUUACACCUGUGAUAUGUGUACUCAUAUUUCGUCAUUGCAGGUUACAUUAUCACCACUCGGUGAUUUUGCACUUUUGCGAAGUUGCUUUGUGGAUGUCUGUUGAUAAAAUGAAGCUAUUUAUCAUCACAUCUUGAUUUAUUCUCUUUUCACUAUUAAAACUUUAAUAUCUACUAAAUGUCAUCAACAGUACUGUUCAAGCAAUUUUUAAUAUCAAUGUCAUGUUAACAUGAAUGUGUAAAAAUUAGAAACUACCAAACAUUGCCAAAAGUUGAUAUGAAUCUUCUUGGUUGUGUUGUGAGUCUGCUUUCUUCCUGGAAGAAUGGGACUUGGGAGUAUUUUACCAUUUGUGAUAUGUGGGGACUAUGUAGAUCAGACUCGCUGUGGGAGAUGAUUCUAUAAAUCAAGGGUCUUCUUAUUUAUGAACUAAAGCUCAGAGAAUUUAAGAACUGCAUCUUUGAUUAGUUAGAUUUGGAUAAUUGGUGAAUUGUCUGCUCUGUGGUAGAACUUUUUCUUUUCUUAAUUUUCUUACUUGGCUCUUUUAGUAGGUCAUCUCGACCUACAUGUUUCUUUAUAAUGAACUUCCAUCUUUUACUGUGCAACAAAGAUAAUAGGCAUUAUUCGUGGAAUUUUGAAAUGAACUAUUUCUGUACAGAAAUGGAAGGUGAUGGAGCUUGAUUCUGUAGCAGUGUAGCUGGUAAAGUUCUUCCUGUGGCUAUGAAGCCAACAACUGCCACUCAAAAUCAAAGCAGAAUUACGAGUGGGGUAUGCUACAAGCCUACAAUUAAUGCUGUGGAUUGAUAGAUUUUGUAGAUGGCCUGCUAGCUUUCACGAUCCUAACUGAGUUUGCUGAAAACUUCCUUCAGAAUCAAUCAGCAGAAGAUUUUGGAUAAAUAUGUUGAAAGCCAUGAUUGAAAUUCAAGCCGACAUGUGGUGGACUGCUUCUUGAUUGUUGAUUGGCAUUCAGUGGUACACAUAUAAGCUGCAUUCUCAAAGAAGACAAGCUUGAAGUACUCUCAAAAUCUUGGAAUUUUGGUAUGCUUCUCAAUUGUCAAAUAUUAAUUAAGUUUAUAUAUAUUGUUUGAUUCUUAAUAAACUAAAAUUAAAAAAGAAAUGUAAAUAGAAUAAAUGUAGUGUAGUGAAGGAUUGUGUGCACUUAAUUGCCUAAUGAACCGUCUUUUUAGUAGUGCAUGGAUAUAUCAGUUCUUGUAUCUUUAACCAAGGAUAGAAGUGGAAGUGAUCCUCGGAUUACUCUUGUGGGCAUCUUGAAAGCAUAGCUGUAGGAAGCACCUAUAGAGGAAGCCAAAUACUGCCCAAAACGAAUGGCACUAUCUACAUCGCAUAACUCAUAGAAAUUUCAUUAAUACAAGCGUCUUGUUCGCCUGAAUUUUAAAAUACAACUGUGCUUGAAAUGCCACAAGAUACAAGUGUACUUUUUGCUUUUCAAUUGGGUGAGAAGUAGAGCAGUUCGUGUGGCCUUUAUUUUUUUCUCUGGGAGGUCUUAGACUUGACUGAAUGUAUGCUCCACAGUGACUUGAUUAUCUUGAAAUCAAAGGCUCUGAUAUUUCCAGCAGGCCUUUUUGUUCACUCCAGUAAACAUAGUUGAAAUUUCGAUUUUGUGCAGCUAUCUGAUUCCUAAAAACGGUAAGGCUUGUGCUGCAAUUACACAAUUUUGACACUAAAGGUAAAGCUUAUGCUGCAAUUAUUUCGUGCUUAUUUGACUAUUUCUAAAAAAACGAAUAUAUUCGUAGAAUAUUAGUGAAUAUCAAACGAAUAUAUUUGUCGAAUAUUCGCAAAUAUCAGACACGAAUAUAUUCAUCGAAUAUUCAAAAAAUAUCAAACAAAUAUAUUGUUCAAAUAUUUGCAAAUAUCAGAGAUAUUUUCAUCUAUGCCAGUAAAUACGAUUUGUGUUUGCUAGUGAAAUUACCUUAUUCGUCUUGACUUUGAUACCUUAUUAUGCAUUGAAGCUGUACUUGCUCUUAUCAUUAAUGAAGCACUGUUCUUAUCACUAGUGAUUACUGCAACAAAACAAAACAGAUGUCAACACUAAUGUUCUUAUCGAGAGCAUGAGUGGUACUGUAGUAGACUGGAAAACUAUGUUCUAAAAUUAAUGCAGCAUCUGGUUUUUGUUUCAAGGUGUGAUGAACAUUGUUCUUAUCAAGAAACCCUUUCGUAGCAGAAACAACCAACAAUAAAAAUGGCAUUUGCUUGACUUAAGCUUUGUUUUUUUUUAUUUUAACAAAAUCUACAUUCUCAGCUCUUUUUAAGCUGCCACACUGAGUCGAAAUUCUAAAAUUGUUCAAAAGGAAUCAAGAAGUUCAUAAGCUCACACACAAAACAUUUCCUUUUUCAGAAUUCCAGUUGCUUGAAGAUGACGACAGGUGCUCGUGCUUCCUUGCUAACCCCCAUCUUCAAAAGGUAAGGUUUCGUAACCAUUAUCAAAUAUCUUGUGUUUUAGAUUUGAAGCACACAUUCAUUUAACUCUUUAGCAAUUAUUAAAUUUUACAGGUUAAGGGGUAAGGUCGCACUCAUAACUGGUGGAGCAAGUGGAAUUGGUGAGAGCACAGCUAGAUUGUAUACUCGAAAUGGCGCAAAAGUAGUCAUUGCCGACAUCCUAGAUAACAUUGGUGGUUUAGUCUGCAAGGAAUUAGGUUCAGAUGAUAUCAUUUCUUAUACACAUUGUGAUGUCACUCAAGUAAAUGAUAUCAAAAACGCCGUAAAUUUUGCCAAGUCUAAGUACGGAAAACUCGACAUCAUGUUCAACAAUGCAGGAAUAAUUGGCAAGAAUGAACGACAAUUACUAAAGUCUGAUAUGGAAGAUUUUAAAAGGGUGUUUGAUGUGAAUGUGUAUGGUGCCUGCUUGGGUGCUAAGUAUGCUGCGAGCGUAAUGAUCCCUGCAAAGGGAGGAAGCAUAAUCUUUACAGCAGGAAUUUCUUCGGAGGUUUCUCAUGCUUACGCUGCAUCAAAGUAUGCCGUGGUAGGCUUAAUGAAGAACUUGUGUGCUGAAUUAGGGCAAUAUGGGAUUAGAGUUAAUUGUAUCUCUCCUUUUGGAAUUACAACUCCACUGCUUACUAGUGCAUUAGGCAUGGAUGAAUGGAAGACACAGGAAGUGGUGCUUAAGUCUGCCAUCUUAAAAGGAAUUAUAGUAAAGCCUGAAGAUGUAGCUGAGGCAGCUGUUUAUUUGGGCAGCGAUGAAUCAAGGUAUGUAAGUGGACUUAACCUAGUUGUUGAUGGAGGUUAUAGUACAACAAAUCCUUCAAUGGGCACAGUUAUAAAGAACAUUACAUCGACAUAAUCCCUGUCAUGGAUUUAGUUUGUAUUCUUAAAUGUAGAACCUAGCUAUGAGCUAUCCAUUGUUAUCUCAGAUGUUUCAGAUCUUGGUUUACUUUAUAUUUGAAUUUUUAGUGGUGUUUACAAGUUUGAUUAUAAAUUUAUAACCGAAAACAAUUACAUUUAGAAGCUUAUUAUGAUCCAACUUUGUUGAUUAUAACUAGAAACAAUUCAUCUUCUUUUUCGUGAUUUCUGGUAGAUCUACUCUUUUUCUUCAACAUUUCUAAACAACUAUAAUAUGUAUACUGAUAUACAAGGUUAAAGUGGGGAUUCUUGAGUUCAUAGUGAGAAAUCAAGUGGGGAUUCUCGAGUUCAUAGAGAGAAACCACCAAGUUUUUACUGUUUGGAUGGUUUGUGGUUUGGAUUAAAAUGUACAGGCUGAAACGCAAGUUGUAAUUGCGUUUUUGGUGAACUCCAUUGUUAAUAGCAUUUUUUUUUGUUGGCAGAACUCCAUUGUUAAUAGCAUUAGAAGUACACAAUAUUAAUACUAGAGGUAAUUAGCGAUACCCCCCGGAAUUCAAGGCAACAUAGCGAUACCCCCCUAACUCCAAAAAGAUUUGUGUUACCCCCCCAAAAUUAUUUUCCAGUGAAAAAUAGACUUGAACUGCCAUAAAUACCCUUAUGCCACGUCAGCAAUGGUUUAGGUCAAAUUUAAAAGUCUGAUGUGGCAUAAGGUAUAUNNNNNNNNNNNNNNNNNNNNNNNNNNNNNNNNNNNNNNNNNNNNNNNNNNNNNNNNNNNNNNNNNNNNNNNNNNNNNNNNNNNNNNNNNNNNNNNNNNNNGCGAACUAUGACCUUAGUUGAUAUAGUUUUCCAUUAUAACUGGAAUUAGUUGGUCUGAUCUUAACCAAUCUUUGAAUUUCAAGUAUAUAGCUAAUGUAAUGCUUCGUUUACCUUUGGUGAUCUCGUAGUUCUGGUCUGUGAAGAUGCGUUGUUAGGUGCUCCAUUUGAUUUUACCACUGAAGACCGAUCCUAAACCUUGUGCUCGAGAGAAAUCUUUUUGGAGUUGGGGGGUAUCGCUAUGUUGCCUUGAAUUCCGGGGGUAUCACUAAUUAGCUCUUAAUACUAUGUGUAUUGAGAUUAUACCUCCUAUGUGUAUUGAGAUUAGAUACAUUACAUCCCUAAGAGUAUUGAGAUUAUACCUCCUAUGUGUAUUGAGAUUAUACCUCCUAUGUGUAUUGAGAUUAGAUACAUUACAUCCCUAAGUCCCUACACGCCAUUGGACUUUCACAAAGCCAAAACCAAAACAAGGUAAUGAUAUCCCUCCAUACACAAUGUUAUCCCUCUAUACACUAUGUUUAUACAAAACACAUUCUUUGGUUAACUUCAAAAUCUUACAAUCCCACUACAUUUUCUUCUCCUAAUCUAGUUUAGCAUACAAUAAAACCAGCAGCAUUGUAGUCUGUAGAACAGUAUUGUAUUAACCUAUUUAUAGAUUAAUGCACUACUAGAUCAGGUCAUUGGGAGACUUGACCAAAGGGGAAUUUGUAGAUCGGGGUGGCUGCACCUCGUUGAGAUCGAGAUUGCCUACGUACUCUUAGCUCGAGGGGAUUGAACUUAGAGAUCAAACCAUCGUAGUUCUGUUCUUAUAGAAGGUAGAAAGGCGUGGAUCGUGGAUCUUGCAGAUUCUCCGUCAUCAUAAUGAGGAUUAAUUGUGUAACGCGCGAGGAUCAUCCCUGUGAAUUAAAUAUGUAAUUGACGAGGAUAUUCUGUGCAUUGAAUGAGAGCGCGUGUGUGUUAGCAGGCCGCUGCUCGUUAUGAGAUCGAGUUGUUGUGGUCGAACUACUAUCGGGUAGAGAUCGUGGCGACCUGGUGGAUGAAUGACUGUGCCACGUGGCUGCUUUUGAUUGGUUGGAGUAUGUAGUACCCCUACAUAAGCCCUCUCUUUUUAGGUUGAACGGAGUUCGGGCUGAAAAGAAGUAAUCGAACCGAUCCAGCCCCCAAGAUGAAUGAAAUAUGGGGUUCUUUAACGAAGUCGAUCCGCCCCAAAUUUUGAUGAGCUUGAUCAUUGAGAUUUGCAGGACGCGAUGAAGGUCCCUUGUGGUAAUGACAACUCGAUCAUGAAUUUGUGUAUAGCGAGCUAGUUAGUUCCAGGGAGACCUGGUAGCUCGUUCAGAAGGCAUGUAGACGAGAUGGACAGCUGCAAGCAGGUCGUACUGAAGUGGGUCUUCUUGCAUACAUGGGUGGUUGUCUUUUUGUGGUCGAGUUGCAUAGACCUGAUACUUGUUGAUAAUGUUAGCAUGUGAAAUAUUAUAAAAUUUAGUAAGAGACUUACACUGAACUGUAUGUCUUCCUUAUAAAUUUUGUAUGUACUAUCUUUGUCGCCUUGUGAUUGGACAUUCCGAUAGAUGUGGCACUUUGGAGUGCACAUGUAGCUCGUUUGAGAAAGAGCAUUGGUUGACCAAGUGUUUUGAGAGUUACUUGGAACCUUUUGGUGCCCGAUCUAGUGAAUGGUCGCAGCGUGGAGACCUGUUUGAUAAUUCUCGGGCAUGUGGCCUUUGUGGGUCUGCAUUGCGUUGAGAGUGAAUGCGUUCGACCAGGCGUGUGGCUAGAGAAUUGUGUUUGAGGUCGUCCCGCAUACGAGUGACUCACUAGUCAAUGAGGGUGGCCGUAUUGUAUAUCAAGCAUUUCACUUGUAAAGAGUUCAGUGAAAGCAAUGUGGCACAUUUGUGCAAAAAUAGCUCAUGGGGAAUGAGGUCGUGUUCAUGUGACCUGCACAUAGAGAGAGCUACAAAAAAUAUCAUUAAUAGCUAAUUAUGCUAAUAAUAAGUUAAUUUCAUUAGAUAAAAUGAGAAUAGCCCCCUGUAUGGCAUAAAUAUUCUUGAGGUCGUUGAAAGACCUGUAAUUUGAGGAGGUCGUUGAUAGACCUGGUGAGGUCGCGAUGAAGGACCUGGUAUGAAGGACCUGGCAUGAAAGACCUGGUAUGAAGGACCUGGCAUGAAAGACCUGGUGAGGUCGUGACGAGACCUGAGAGGUCGUUGGCUUAGAGACCUGAAUAUGUGAGGAGGUCUCUGCAAGACCUGAACAUGUGGCCAUUAAGAAUGUAACUGAUAUAUAUAAUCAUGAUCGAGUUAUGAGAAUAUAUGUUACAUAGAUGCAUAUAAUAAUCAAUUUGUGUGAGACAAAAUAGAAUGAACAGUAAGAUCAUAGUGAAUUGAUACUUAUCUUGCUUUCGUCGAGUUUCACAUACAGUACUGGUAACCGAAAGUAAACCCCCAAUUUGGAAAUUGUGAUUGCAAUUCUGCCAAAUAGAAUUUCUUGAACUUGAAAUCACCACUUUGAGAGCCUUACAACAAUGGUGUAAUGGUGGGGUUGGUGGGUGGAAUUCGCUUGAGAAAAUCCCAAGUCCCUGUAGUCGGCGCCAAAUGUAUUAACCUAUUUCUAGAUUAAUGCACUACUAGAUCAGGUCGUUGGGAGACUUGACCAAAGGGGAAUUCGUAGAUCGGGGUGGCUGCACCUCGUUGAGAUCGAGAUUGCCUACGUACUCUUAGCUCGAGGGGAUUGAACUUAGAGAUCAAGCCAUCGUAGUUCUGUUCUUAUAGAAGGUAGAAAGGCGUGGAUCGUGGAUCUUGCAGAUUCUCCGUCAUCAUAAUGAGGAUUAAUUGUGUAACGCGCGAGGAUCAUCCCUGUGAAUUAAAUAUGUAACUGACGAGGAUAUUCUGUGCAUUGAAUGAGAGCGCGUGUGUGUUAGCAUGCCGCUGCUCGUUAUGAGAUCGAGUUAUUGUGGUCGAGCUACUAUCGGGUAGAGAUCGUGGCGACCUGAUGGAUUAAUGACUGUGCCACGUGGCUGCUUUUGAUUGGUUGGAGUAUGUAGUACCCCUACAAGUAUCUAUCAACAUGGAAAGGCCUAGUAUUCCUCCAUGCUUCAUCUUUCUUACUCACUUUAUACUCCAACUGAAAAAAAAAAAAAUCAUUAAAAAACCAUUGCAAGUAAAUAAUGGCUAUUUCCUUGUGCUUGUUUUCAUAUGUAGUGCAUUCAUGAAUAACAAAUUAACAACUCAAGGUGAUCAAUUUAUUAACAAACUUUACCAGAUUGAUUUAUCCAUUGUUGAUCUUAAGCUCAUUGUUGUGUUCAAAAUAUACAUAAAUGCACCUCCAUUCGCCAUAUUCUAUGGUUUGAGACCAGCGUGCUGUGCAUUCUUUUCGGGGGUGAGUUUUUUUUUUUUUUUUUUUGAGAAGGUAUAGUAUUUCAUUAAUCACAAAUAUACCAGGUCAGCAGCAUAUCGCAAUGUCAGUUGAAAAAACAGACCCACUAUAAAUCUAGAGACCAGAGGCAAUACUGUACGGCACAAGACUAGAGUCGGCUCCCUGUCAGCUGCUAUUGCUGAGUCCCCAAAGAGGCCUCCCAGUGACUACAGCAGCAGUACUAACCACAAAAUUGCUCCACUCUGCUGUGAAAACCAAAACCCUUUGCUGCCCUUACCAGUUUUCAAUGAUCCAGCUGUCCCAGCGCCGUACCAGGUCUGCAAAGCUAUAAGAUUUCUUCAGUUCUGAGCAUUUGCUAGAUAUUUCCAGCCAAUCCCAUAUCAUCCCUUUAACUUUGAGUAUUAAUUUCUCACAGUUCAAGGCACCCUGCCUGAAGAUGAUUAUACAGAUCAGAAUGCAUCUUUAUGGAAAAGCCGAAAUUCCUUGUGAUUUAAGAUUAUUAAACCAUAUUUGACCAGGACUGCUGCUUUGGAUAUCAACAGUGGUGUGCAUAACACUUGCUGGUGUAGUUUCACAAAAUUAUUAGAGUGAAGAAAGCCAUUGCACUAGGCACUAGCUUGAAAAUUCCAUUUAUUAUGGAUUUAUGGAAAACAGCUUCUCAUGCUAGAAGAAAAUAAAUGUUUCAUUAUGCAAUACUGUAUUCACAUUUACUGUACACACUGUAAUACCCGGUAUUUUGAUAGGCUUGUGCUUAAUAGAAAUUGGAUUUCAAUUUGGACUUCUUUGACUAUAUAAAUGGGUUUUAUGAAUGGGCUUAGUAUUAUGCUUUUUGGGCUUUAUUUUAAACUCAUCUUUAGGUCCACAUAAACAAAUAUUAGUAUAUAUAAUAUUCUUAGUUAUUUAAUGAAAAGGAGAAACCCUAGAUCUUAAACUUGAAGAGAAAUAUAUGGAUUCCCGUUUUUUGAUAACACUCUGUUAGUAUUUCGGCCAUAACUCUCUUUACAGAACUCAGAAUGACCUGAAUCUUAUGUCAUUAGAACCCUAUUGAAAAUACGCAUCUGAGCAUAUUAAGUAGAGCAUGUGAAUCUUCCGGACGUGACCUGUGCAACUGAUUCUUUGGAGGUCAGAAAAACUGUGACUGAUUUGCAGUAUGCUUGUUUUGAGUUGUGUUUUUCGUAUCUUUGGUAUUUGGUGGUCUUCUUAUGAGGUAAGUUAUAUUACUUGAUGUUUUCUCUUACUUUCUAGAUUAGGUUGAAGUAACCCCUUGUUAGCAUGUUUAAUUCGUUUAUUAUAAUUGAAUUGCAUGAUAAAGUAUGAUUUAGUAAGUAGAACUCAAUAAAGUUACAAUCUUGUUGAUAUUUAACUAUGUAUUAAUGUUGAAAUUUAACUUUAAGAACAUACUAAUGUAGGAAUUGGUGAUUUAAAACAUGUUUAAUGUUAAUUCAAUGUCCCAAAGCAUAAUAGAUGAUUAUAUUGCUUAAUUUGUACUUGGUAUGAUGAAUAAAACAUGAUUAUAUUGAAUUUAUUAAUGCUGAAAUUUAUAUUUUAAAAUAUGUUAUUAUUGGGCUUGAAGAUUUGACUUGGUAUUGUAGUGUUUGAUUGAACCCAUUGGUUAUGGACUUUCUUACUUUAGAAUUUCCUGAACUUGACAUCAUACUUGUUUAUGUUGUUCGUCAUAUAUAUUUAUAUGGACAAUGAAUGGAAUAGAAUGGUUAGAUUGAACCAUGUGUUGGAUUAGAAUUGGGCGUGUUAAACAAAUUAACACAAGACCCGUAUGAUGGGGAGACGUCCCGGAGUGUUGUCACAUGACAUAGCUCGAUGAGUGUAUGGCUAUGAUGCGUACGACUCGGUGCUACUGCACAAUUUUGUAUAUGAAUUUCAUGGAUUGAAAUUGAUAGAUUUGGAUGGACUUGAUGAUUUGGUUUGAGAUUGAAAUUGAUUGACUUUGAUUGAUUAGAUUGAUUUGGGCGUGUUAGUUAUACUAACACAGGACCCGUGGAUUUUGGGCGUGUUAAUUCUUGUAUCACAGGACCCGUUGGGAGACGUCCCUAAGUUAUGUCAAAUGACCUAGCUUGAUGAGUGUAUUGCUGCGAUGCGUACGACUCGGUGCUACUGCACAACUUGACACUUGUUGCAUGGAUUUGGAUUGACGUAAUAUGAUGGAUUGGAAUUAUUGGAUAAGGACUUGAUCUGAUAUUGCAGAUUGAUUGAUUGAGAUAGAUUUUGAUUAUUUGAUUAUUGGAACUGGAAACAUGAUUGACAUUACAGAUUACCAGAGAUUGAUCUUGUUGAUUUAUUUAUCAUUGUUUUAAAUGUUAGAAUAAAUUGAUUAGUAUUUAUAAUUGUUUAUCUCUAGGAUGCGCGGAUUCCUUUUCUGGGAAUUAAGAUCGAACCUCAAGUUUUGUAACUUGCUGGCGUUUAACGUCUUCCCUUUUUCCCUUUUUAGGAUACAAGUGUUUUAGAGAUGAAGUGUUCGAUAAGAGCUUGGUGAAAGUUGUCUUGAGUUGCUCAUAUGUCUAGUUGGAGUUUGAUGAGUUGUAACCUUCGGGCAUGACUCUGAUUUAUAUUUAUAUUUAUAUUUAUAUAGUUUGUAUUCUGUUUAGUCUUCCGUUGUUAGUUUAGUAUUUGUUUUUAUUUUAUUAUGUUCUUCUGUGGUCUAGAGGUGUGAUGUCACGUGACAGUAGUGUGACCCUACGGUCCAUGGAGGACAUAUGGUGAUCAUUAUGACUCUGUUGCCCGAUUUUGGCCUGGCCAGCUAGGAUCGGAUUUCAGGGGCGUUACACACACAGUCAGAGUUGGUUUAAUGACUUCAACUCAGUUUCUGACAUAUUCAACUGCAGAAUAUGGCGAGAAAUUGCUCAACAAGAAGACCUAUUUGAGUAGCAUACAGACUUGGGAGUAAUUAAGUGUCUGCAUUUUAGUAUCUAACUGUCUAUGCAUGGAAGAUUCAAUAUGUUUUCUAAAUAAAUUGUUAACAUGUAUGUAACUAAUAAUAAUUAACUUUUUAGGACACGUAUAUACCACAAGAAUUAGUGUAACCAGGGAUUGGGAAACGGAUCAUCUCGGCCCAUGCAUUGAACAACAGAUUGUGUGCUCAAAUGUUGACUCGCGCAUUGACAGAAAAUCUAAGUUGUGAACACCAUCUGUUGGGUUUAUUGCCACUACUAUAGUCUAAUAAGAUAUCUUUCCAUGAACACAAUAAUCUACUUUAAGUAAUAAGCAGGUCAGAAUUGUUUGCUGUUCUCCGAACCAUUCCAUGCACAACAAGCAACACAAAAUUCUUACAAUCUUACAGGGAGCCAUUACCCAUAAUAUGGGAAGUACAAUACUAAAGGAAUGCUGCUUAGAAACAAGUCAUUGUAAACCUAUUGCCUUCAUAGUAGAGUUUCUUUUCAACUGCAUAAUUUUAAUAAAAAUAAAUAAAAAAUUCCGAUGAAAUUAAUCCAUGAUGAUUAAUGAGUACUCACCAGGAGCUGCAACCAAUGUAUCAAAGUUCAAUCGUGCUGCCAGAAUGCUUUCUUCGAUUUGCUCUGAAGUCCUUUGUAAUUCAGCUACUCUGAAGGCUUCCUUCUCUUUCUUCUCCUUGAGCAAUUGGAGGUCCUUGUCCAACAGCGCAAUUGAUUCUAGUCCCUCAGUCACCUCCCUGGUUGUUGUCUUCAACAUGCAAUUAUGCUGUUCAUAGCGCUCAUUGAUAUGUAGCAAUUUAACCAAUUGAUUUCGUAUUGGCUCAACGGUGAAACCAUACCCUUCUAAAAUUUGGAGUGCGUCCAACUUAACAUCAAACAUGCAUUUUGAAUCGUCAAGCUGGGCUUUCCGUGUAACUUCUAUCAACUUUGUGAAACUCACCAUGAGCCCUAUGGCCGCCCCUUCACGGAGAUACUCAUCCUGUUCCUUCAGGGGAUCAAAAUGUGGUUGUUGUGGCAUAGACCGAAAGACUUCCAUGGACUCAAACUGUGGCCACAUAAAUGAGCUCUUGAUGAAAGGCAAGCCGCUCUCUAGAGGUGAAGGUUCAAGACUUGGUUGUGUUGAUGUGGUUGUUGCAACAUCAACUGAUAUGUGCUGAGUCAUUUCAUUUUCUCUUGCAUCAAUACAAAAAUCAUUGGAAGUAUUGCAUUUCUUCAUCCAAGAUGAAUUCUCAACCACAUUUGAUGACUCAAGGGUUUCAAGGCUUCUCGAUGCAUCACUCAGAUUGACUUCCUCAUUUGGCGUGACCUCAUCGUCAAAGUGGAAUCCUACGAAAAGGCAUUAUUAAUCAGGUUAUUUAGUUUUAUACUGACAUCACAAACCGAUUUAUAAUACCUUCGCUGUCUUUCUCCAUAUGAGAAUUGAAAUUUUCAGGACACACGGAUACAGGUUGAUGCUCCUGUGUAAAACAGCUGAAUGUUUUUGAGCAUUCUGCGUGGAUGACUUCUAACGCUUCAUUGUUGGUAACAUUGCUUUUAGAACCUACAAAAUUACACAGGUUGUAGAUGCCAUUGACAUCUGGUGUCUUUCACUAUAAGUGAACCGGACUUCUCAAGGAACAAUAUAUAUAAUAAGAUAACGUUAAGGUUCAAUAGUUUUUACCUCUUACUGAUGCCAUUUCGCCUGAACCUUCUAAUUGAGGUCUUUUCUCUUGUCCUACAUGACAUGAAAAUACUCAUUAGUCGCGAUCCCCAUAAUUAGUGUAACAAAUGAUGAGAAGGCAAAUUAAGUUUAUUACUUCCACAAAAAUACUUACAGAAGUGGCAAGGCUGUGACUACUUUUGACUUCAGCAGUGAGAAGAGCUUCUUUUCGUCAGUUCUAAUAAAAGCUAAGGAUUUUUCUUUUUGUGAAUUCCAAAAGGUAUAAUAGGCCAAAUUUAAUGUUGCGAAGUUUUUCCAAAAGCAUUUCGUAAACGAAAAGCACCAGCUGUUAAAGAACAGUAGUGCCCUGUUUGAAGUGGCUUUGCCUAAUUAAAGAAGUGAUGAAACCCCUCGCCAACAUAUCAGAAUUGACAUGUGGAUGAGGAGUCCUGCUUAAAAGUGUAGUUUUAGGAACACUGCACCGAAGGUGAUACUCAAACUAAAUGUUUAUGUAUCUUAUAGUAAUUGUGAUGAGGUAUUGAUAUUGAUAUCUAACUUGUAAAGAGACAUUUGAGUAUACAGACUUCAAUCUAAAUGGUUAUGUAUCUUAUAGCAUAUAUGUGCACACAGUACAGAAUAAAAUUUGAACAAAAUGUAAAGAUACUUGUGAGACACAACACCAAAUCAAAAAAAUUAGUCUCAAUGUGCACAGGAGAACAAAGCAUCUCUGCUUGAAUUAAUGAAUCUGACAUGCAUAGGACAAUAGAUUUUUGGAGCUCAAACGUUGUGUCCAUUAAUAAAAUUAAAACAAUACAUCCAAGUUGUGUUCUGUAUGUCUUCUAGCUUUAGCGGAGGAAUUUUCCCAUCGGAUAACAACAUUCGAUUUAACAGUUAAGUCAGGUCUGUUAUAUUCUCUCACCAUUCCAUGCACAUCGAAAAAUGGUUAUAAGGGUCAUUAAAGCGUUCUUUUCGCCAGACUAAAUAAAUUCUCAACACUAUUUCAUAUCAGGAAAUCUGAGGCUCUUUGUUGACUCAUAGCGAUUUCUUAAUUGGUACCAGCUCAUUAAGUGAAACUCAUACAGAAUGGCAAUCAUGAUCAAAUUAAUUAGUUUAACAUGGAAAGCCAUCACAAAGUCAUUUAUAGUACCUCUGUUGUCUUUCACAAUAGACUCUAAGAGGCACGAAGAAAGAUGUCGAUGCUCUAUGUCUUGUGUGCAUUCGGUCUGGACAACUUCUGUGGAUUCUUUGCUGGAAGCUUGACUGUCAGGGCCUACAAAAUGAAAGAAUGGACGUAUAUGAACAUUGAUUACCUCCGUUGUCUUUCACUAUAAGAGAACCAGAUUUUCUGAAGCAACAUAUGAUGACUCUAUCCUUAAACAUUUUUGUACCUUCCACUGAUGCUUCUAAGUCUGGAUCUUUUAGUUGUCGUUUUCUCCUUUGUCCUACAUGACACAAAGAAACUCAUGAGUUACAAUCAACCAGUUUCCUUUAGCAAAGGUUGCAAAGUGAUUCUAGAUUACCUCCACCGUAUAAAUUUGUCCUCAGUAAGCCACCUACAGUCCAGUGUCGUCGACAAUUUUUACAAAAGUGAACAGGCUUUGACUCAUUAUGAUAUUGAUAGUAAACGAAUUUUGUAUCGAUAGAUUCACAGCGUGGACAUUCCAGUGCCACCUGACACAUGGAAGCUUCAUUGGCCAUUGAUAUUUCAGGUUGUUGUAUUUUCCUUUCUCCUACACGACAGAAGUUAAUCAUGAUUAAAUUUUUUUCAUUAACAAAGGCUGUAAAUUAAUUCUCGAUUACCCCAUCUGGAGAAGCACUAGUUUCUCACCUACAGUCCAAUAGUGUAGACAAUCAUUACAAAAGUGAACGGGCUUUGACCUUAUUUGAUUUUGAUAGUAAGCAAACUUUGUAUUUGUAGAUUCACAGCGUGAACAUUUGAGUGCUACCUGAGACAUUGAAGCUUGAUUGGCCAUAGAACUUUCUGGCAGUCGUCUUUUCCUUCCUCCUGCAUGACGUACAUGAAGAUACUCGUGAUUAAACUGUUUCAUUAAAAAAGGUUACAAAGAUUAUAAAGUGAUUAUGGGUUACCACUAAGAGCCAUUAAUCUGCUGCCACCUACAGUCCAUUGGCGUCGACAAUCGUUACAAAAGUGGAAAGGCUUUGACUUAUCUUGAUUUUGAUAAUAAAAGAAUUUUGUAUUUGUAGAUUCACAGUGUGGGCAUUGCAGUACCACCCGAGCAUGAUCAGGCACGAAAAUCUCUGGUUGACGUCUUUUUCUUUCUCCUAGAUGAAAUAAAAACACUCAUUACAUUACUACAUUUGCACCCUAAUUAGUUUAACAAGGAAUUACAAAAUUGACUCCAGAGUUGAGAACUUGAGAUUACCUCUACCAACUGGAAUAUCCCUCAAUUUACCAUUUACAGACCAACUCCGUAGACAAUCUUUACAAAAAUGACGAGGCUGUGAUUUCUGCUGAUUUUGGUAGUAAAAGAACUUUGUAUUAGUAGAUUCACAACGUGGACAUUUAAGCGACAUGUUCAUGAUCAAGGCUUGACCAUCCUCCACAUCCAUAGAAACAUGAUUCAUUGAUUCCAUUCCACCCAACUGUUGAAAGCUGAUAACUCUAGAGGAGUCCAUUUCUACUAAUUUCUUGUUGAUAAUAUAUUUAUAUUUUCUGUAAUAAUAGAACAACACAAAUCAAAUACUGUAUGCAAUAACAGUUAAGGGGUCUGCCUAAGUAAUCCAAACUUACUUCAAAAUCAAAAAAACCCAAGCUUAUGAUAUUUUCAUAAUGUACAAAGAAAAACACCUAAAUGAAUGUUUUUGGUGUUUAAAUGAACAAAACCCAAGCUUGAAAAACAAAAAUAAACAAAAACCAAGCUUGGAAAACAAAAAUAAACAAAACCCAAACUUUGAAAACAAAGCUAAUGGAACAAAACCCAAUGAUAAACACUAAAAUGUAUGAAGAAAGGUGAAAUAUUUAAAAGUAAUACCUGUCUUUUGAGAAAUCCUUAGAGAGAGAAAAAGACCACAAACCAAAAAGAAACCCCUGAAAUUUCUAGAUACCCAUUUUGUUUUGUUGGAAAUCCCAAAUGUCAGAAGUUUGGUUGAAGAAAGCAUGCUAAAAACCGAGUCGACUAGGCCGGUUUAAACUCUCUUUCUCUAAGUCUCAAAAUUUACCUGAGCCGUCAACACGUGUAUAAGUGUAUUUAAGCGAUCAAGACGUAUCUCGAAGCUUUUCUUUUGUUUUUUUUUUUUAAAAAAUUCAAAUUUUAUUGAUAAACUAAACGAAUUACACAAGAGUAGAGGACAAACGCGCUACAAACUGCGCGGCAAGUCCUUUCUGGAUAGCAAACCCGAUUCUUUUAAAUACAUAUUCGUUCGAACCUGCAGUCAUCACGUUGCUAUCCAUUUUUAUUUUUAUUUUUUAUUUUUUAUUUUUUAUUUUUUAUUUUUUAUAAUCAUGUAUUUUACUACUCCCUCCGUCCCGUUUUUAUAGGCUGAUUGGUGUUUUUCAGGUAUAUCUAAACUACUUUAAGGCGCCUCCUUCCUGAGGUCGUUCAUGAGGCCUGUCGUGUCUCUCAUGUACAGUUUCGAUUAUACCCCUAUCUCUUAUACAUAGUUACGAUUAUACCCCUAUCUCUUAUAAAUAGUUUUGAUUAUACCCCUAUAUUUUAUUAAAAUUCCGAUUAUACCCCUAUCUCUUAUAAACAGUUCCAAUUAUACCCAUAUCUCUUAUAAAUAGUUCCGAUUAUACCCCUACCUCUUAUUAAAGUUCCGAUUAUACCCCUAUCUCUUAUAAACAGUUCCGAUUUUAUCCCUAAAUUUUGAUUUUAUUUCCAUAGUUCCAAUUUUACCCCUAAGUUUCAAUUUUAUUUUCCCACUUCCGAUUUUAUCCCUAAGUUCUUAUUUUAUUUCCACAUUUUCGAUUUUACCCCUAAGUUCUUAUUUUAUUUCCACAUUUCCGAUUUUAUCCUAAUGUAUUAAGAGUUGUAUACUACAAUGAAAAGGGUAAAAAAUCUAUUAUAAUUUAUAUAAGAUAGCGUGUUUAUUUCCACAGUUUCGAUUUUACCCCUUAUAUAUUAAGGUUUGUAUACUACAAUGUAAAGGACAAAAAAAUAAUUUCAAAAAAAGUGGAACCUACUAUAAUUUAUAUAAGAUAAUUUCAAAAAAAAAUGGAACCUACUAUAAUUUAUAAAUAUAAAAAACCUAUAGAGUUUUGUUAAAAAAAAAAAAAUUGCUAAAAAUAUAUAUAUAUAUAUUAUAAAGUAGUUAUAAACCCAAAUAAACAUUUAAACAGGGUUUUUUUUUCUUCUUAUUUUAUUAGGCAUAAAUAAAUUUAUUAUUUUUUGUUCGCACGCAUUAGGCGUGCACAUUCACAUAGUUAAGAAAGUGGUGGAAAAUGGUUUACUUGUAUUUAAUUACAGUAUUAUUAUUGUGAUUAUUAAAAUAAAAAAAAAUUACAAUAUUAUUUUUAAAAUUAUCUUUUUUUUUUUUGUUGUGUAUAUUUAAUGUUAUUGGCUAUAUUUAAAGAAAUUUUCACAACUAAUAAGGAGUAAAUUUGUCACUUGCUUUAUUAAGUAUUUUGAUGCGUGUAAAAUGGACUAUAUAGUGGGACAGAAAAAAUAGGCAAAUAAGCCUAUAAAAGCGGGACGGAGGGAGUAUUGAUUAGCUCAAAGAAUUACACAAAAGUGGAGGACAAAUACACCGCAAGUCUAAUCUGAAUAGCAAAACCAAUCUUUCUAAAAACAUAUUCAUUUGAGUCAACAGUCAAAAACUCAAAUGCGUCAAAAACAAACAACAAACAUGAUGAAACUAUGCUGAUUUGCUUUACACACUCCAUUAAUAUGUUAAUCCCAAACCCUACCAUCAAUGAUACCUCUAUAAUUUCAACGAUUACAUCCAACCUACCAACCCCAACCCACUCCUUUGUAACAUACAACCAAGCCCAGUAAAAUUUCAUCCAAGCCCACCCUAACUUGAAUUCCUGGAUAGCUCCUAUAGCCUCCUUAAGAAUCCUAGUAAAAAAAAAAUCCUAUUUCCUAUAAUGAAAAACAGAAAAUCAACAAUGUGGCUAAGGUGCGAAAGCAGACUCGAGUCGCAAGGUGGUAGUGUGGUACCAUCAGUAGCCUUCGGGCCUUGUUUUUAAGCCCAUUAGCCCUGUCUUUGUAAGCCUUCGGGCCUUCUCUCUUUCCACCAAAAUCUUUUCCCUCUUCUUCUAUCUCUCUGUUUGCUCUUCACCAUAGUCAGGUAAAGGUUUAUGUGCACUGGUCCUCCAAUAUUUGAUUCUGGUUGUUAAUCUAUACAAUUAUCUGACUUCAUUCUGUUCAUUGUGUAAGAAGGUUUCUCAAAGUAUUCCUCUUUUGCUCACUUUGUUUCUCAUUUGAAGUUGUUGCUUCUUUCACAAGUCACAAGGCAAAACACCUCUCUCUCUCUCUCUCUCUCUCUCUCUCUCUCUCUCUCUCUCUCUCUCUCUCUCUCUCUCUCUCUCUCUCUCUCUUACAUGCUCAGAAUCAAAUGAAAGAGGUAAGUGAGUCCAUGAACUUCCAUUUUUCUUAAUUUGUUAUCUAUGUGCCAUUGUCUUCAGCUACAUUGGUUGUAAACUAUUGGGUUCAAUUUUAUAAGGUCUUAUUGAAAUCAUGAUUUAAUUUGUGACCUAUGAUCUACUAGUCUAUGUUCUCUGUUAGGUCAAUUUGGUCUGUAUCUUUCACCCUUAGCCAUAUGCCUAUGAACAAUGUGUGAAUUGUGGAAUAACUCUGAUAUCAACUAUCUCUUGGUUGCAGGAUUUGGGCAGGAUAUGACACGCGCCUGUUCUUUUAAUAUUUCCAAGGCGUUGUGAGUAACCCCUUUUCUUCUUUGAACUCCAUUUUUAAGUCAUAUGUUUCCCUUUUCUUAUAGAGGGAAUCUAUAACAUCGUUACAGGUGCAGGCAUUCCAUAACUAUUAUUUUAAUGGUCAAUGCAGUAGGAUUUUUAAGUUGCAAAUUUAUUAUGAGCUAGAGUAAAGUAUGAAUUGUGAUUGAUAUUAGGUCUAUAUCUAUAUGUGACAAAUGUUUUUCUUGUGUUCUGUUCAAAAAUAAUUUGGUCAAGUAAAUAACUUUGGCCGACUUUCUCACUAAAAUGGUUACUUCCAGGAAAAAUAAUGACUUUUUGAGACUCACUUUAUAAUGUUUGGCACAACCAACUCAUAUAAACAAUACAAAAUUCAUUAAGAAAAACGGAGAGCAAUUAUUGAAAUUGGUAGGAUAGGGUUCGAAACUUUCUUCAUCAUGUAUAUUAGAGCCGUUACAAUGCACUCUUACCAUUUUUUGUAUAGUAGAAACUAUACACCAAGUACCUCUGUAUUGGUUUUUGCAUAGUGGUGUGUUUUCUGAUAGUUUCUCUCAUUUCUAGAAGAGCUGGAUGUACAAUUCAGAAGUCCUUAAAAGUCCAACCAAAAUUUUCCAUCAAGAGUUAUUCUGCUCAGAUUCAAAUGGACAAUCGCCAGAGUAAUGAAUCAAGAGGCGCAUUAAUUGUUUUAGAAGGUUUGGACCGUUCUGGGAAGACCUCACAAUCUAAUAGACUACUUUCAUUCUUAGAAGGGCUAGGAUUUUCAGUGGAAGCAUGGCGAUUUCCAGACAGAAAUACAUGUGUUGGGGGUAUGAUAUCUUCCUAUCUUGCCAACAAAUCAGAGUUAGACGAUCACACAAUCCAUCUACUUUUCAGUGCAAAUCGUUGGGAGAAGAGGUUUGUGUAUUCCAGUGUUCUUUAUCAUAUCAUAAGUAUUACUCCUUCGGAUUCUGUGGGUUGUUUGAAUAUUUAUAUCAUUUUCCUGAUAGACUUUGAUAUUAAAUUGUACAUAAGAGAAUAAUCUGAUAAAGAAAAAUUAUGCAUGGAUCUUGCGUGAAUCUUAAACAAGCUUUGAAGUUUUCAUUAUCGUCAAGGAUUGACGACAACGGAAAGUUCCCAAACUAAUUGUCCUUAAUAUUUGAAGUAGUUGUAACCACAUUAAAAGUAAAAUGAGCGUCCUGUGUGAGUAAAUUUGUUCUUUCCAAGCAUAGUGCAAUCCUAUUUUUGAGGGAGUGUGUCUAUCGCCGCAGUCCUUGGACUUUGAAUAAAGUAUGGCCUCCAUUAGUAUCUUAAAAGGUGAAAAAAAGGACCUGGAGGAUUUCACAGUUUCUGUCCCGAGGAUCGGAUUCUUGGGUUAGGGAGAGUAGGAGGUAAUGUCAUUUUGAUGGAUGACGAAGCUAUGUUGAUUCACAUUAAUAUCGAAAUGAGAUACAAGAGAAGCAUUUCUGAUCUGUUGCCUUGGAUAGAAAAACACUUAUUCGAGAUAGCAUGCUUUAGUUUCAAUUUCUAUUUUGGAAUCCUUGUAUUCCUUGACAACAGUGUUUACCCUCUUAAGUCAAGCUUCAAGUCUAAGGUUCUGAGAGAGGUUUGAAACUAGCUUCUAGUGUAUCAUGGGAAUUCUGUUUCUUCAGGAGUACUACAUGAUUUAGUGUCGUCAUUAUAAAGGUUUCCAAUGAAGCCUAAAAGUGUCUUGGAGCUUCUUUGGGUUAGAUGUAGAGCUAAGAGUAAGAGACUAUAAAAAUAUCCAAGGAGGCCAAAAAAUGUCUAGGAUCGCCUGGGAUUUGGGUGAAAGCAACCAUGUGGGGGUUGGGUGAAAAUCAACCAUGUCGGGUAUUGGCUGCUGAUCAUCUCUUUGCCUCUUUGGUUUGUUAGAUUGGCUCCUUUUUUUCCUUUCAUGUCUUGCUAGUUGUGUGUACUUGAUGGUUCUUGGGGUUGGGUUGAGUUCCACUCUUAUCCAACUCCACUACUUUGUUUAUGCUUAAUGUUUCUUAAGCUGCGUAGCGCUAGCUAUUCACCUUGUACAAUAGUAAGUAGAUGGUCUAAUAUUCGAGUUAAUUAUUCAUGUAUGAUAGCCUUUUUCCGAUCUUGUUAAGUUACGUUUUGAAGUUUAUGGAUAAUUUUGAUGAAUGUUGAGCAGCAGUAGUUGACAUCGAUGUGUUUUUUAACAAAGCUUUUGUGAGUAUUUUACUGACUGCUGGUUUCACGAAUAAAUCCACAAACUUAUGAGUGUUGCACUUUGUUUAUCGACCUAUUUAUAAUUUUUCCAGCACAAACCCUACCAUAGUCCACCGACAUAUCUCCGAACUCACUACUACAGUAAUACCACACCACCUCCAUGCCACAAUGACCACCACCACCAUACCUUUUUUUUCUUCUUCUUUCUCAUUUUUUUCCUUCCACUCCAUCUUUUUUUUCUUUUAUUUGUUGUUGUCCAGGUAGCUCACUCUAACAUGACCAAACUCCCUAUAUGAGUCCAGUUGAGUGCCACAAAAUGCAUGUGAAGGACCACAGUCAUGUGCGACUGAACAACCUACUUGGUCUCAUAUGACUAAGGCCCUCUGCAUGCUUUUGGUGGCACCGAACUGAACUCAUAUGCAGUAGCUCGGUUAUGUGCAUGCUACUUGGGAAAUAACAAAAAUAACAUAAGAUGACUAUGGUGCUGGAGGAGGGGGUGGUGGUGAAGGUUUGUGGAAGAGAGUGAAGAAGAUAAAAGGAGAGGUUGGUGGGAGCUUCCAAGACCACAACAGUCAAGUGGGUAUUCAUUAAUUUUCUAUUUUUUGUUUCAUACAUAUAUACACCAUUUCAAAAUCUAUGGAAGUGUCAUGACCUCAGCUCACCCCCCAACCCCCACCCCCAAUGUGCACUCCUUGUAGUUGUGGGGUAGGGGUGGUGGUGGGAGAGGUCAAUGUCGUGAGGUGGUGGAGAUGAAGAAGACAAUCAGUGAUGGUGCUGAUGUUGAAGCUGUGGUUAUGAAAUUGUUAAGGUGGUUAGUAGGGAUGACGUGGUGGUGGUCGUAGAGAUGAGGACGCGGACGACCAUGUGAGAACUUAGAAAGACCAAAAAACAGUAAUAAACUUGGGGGAAACAUAAAACGGUGUGGUGGAAACAUACAUAUGGAACAUACAUAUUCAGCCGAAUGCCCAUCAGGUAUAGGCAGAUGUGAUGGGGUGAGCCUAGGGUUCCGUCUAGAGCCUAGGUGAUGGGUAUGGAUUAGUUAUAGCUGCAUGCAAACCGAUUUUAUCAUUUGUAUUGAGUAGAAAGGCUUUUCCCUUAAGGAAGCUAUGCUGCUUAGUUCAAGAUGUAUGUACUGGACCAUGACUCUGACCUGCUUAUGACUUUUGUGGUACUUAGUUUCUAUGUAUUUAAGAAAUCAUUACAUAUGUAUGGCAAAAGCCAAAUCGUUGAAACCCGAUUAUCUUGUAAAUUUCAUAAGCAAAAUUAUUUACACAACAAAACUUGAAAAGUUGAAGAGCAUUAAUAUACUCUUUCUGUGCAGGUCACUGAUGGAAAGUAAGCUAAAAAGUGGAACUACCCUCAUUGUUGACCGCUAUUCUUAUUCAGGUGUGGCUUUCUCAUCUGCCAAAGGACUUGAUAUUGAAUGGUGUAAGGUGAGGUAAUUUAUCCUGGAGAUGCUACUUGCCUGGACCAAUUUUUGUCCACAGAUUGAAGAAGGAAUUAUUUUGCAGGCUCCAGAGAUUGGGUUACUGGCUCCAGACUUAGUAUUGUACCUUGACAUACCUCCGGAGGUAAUGUUAGUUACGAUAUUUAUGUCUAUCUCAUUACAUAGGGUAAUAUGGCCUGAAGUUGAUUUUUUAAAAUUUAUGUACUUCAGAAAGCAGCAGAAAGAGGAGGUUACGGAAGUGAGAGAUAUGAGCAGCUUGAGUUUCAACAAAAAGUUUCCCAACAAUACCACAUUCUCCGUGAUCCCACAUGGCAGGUAAGCCCCAAUAGAUGUUAGAAAUAUUUACAUAUCUCAGAAAGCAUUUCAGGUAAGAAAGGGUUACAUCCAUGGUCUGGUGUGUGAGCACUGACUAGGGAAGUCACUCACCAAAUCCUCAUACAUUUGUUUCAUUUGAACCAGUUUUCCUCACCUUGGUUUACCUGUUGCUGGCAGAUUGUUGAUGCCCGCCUCCCCAUGGAAGAUGUGGAGAAACAGUUGAAAGAGCUGGUACUGGACAGUGUCACUGCAUGCCGAAAAGGGAAAUCCCUCUCCCAGCUAUGGUUAAGGUAAUAAUUCUUUAUGCAACAUAUCGUGUAUAAUGCGAGUCCAUGCCAUGUGUGCAUUAUGCAGUUGGAGGACUUGGUUGAAGUUUUUGAAGGAAAUCUAAAGUCAGUUGUGAGAAACAACAGUAAAUCAAAAUAUUUAGUCUCAAUACGCACAGAUGAACAAAGUACCUCUGCUCGAAUUCUUGAAUCUGGCAUGCAUAGGACUAUAGAUUAUCGAUGCUCAAAUGUCGUUUCCCAGUAUAAAGUUAAAAUAAAACUUAUAAGUUGAUUUCUUUAUAUCUUGUAGUUUUAGUAAAGUAAUUUUCCCUUCGCAUAACAACAAUCAAUUUAACAAAUAAGUCAGGUCUCCAAACCAUUAAAAGGGUUUUUCCGCCAGACUAAAUAAACUCUCAACAAAAUGUUAUGUCAGGGAAUUUGAGACUCUUUCUUGACUCAUAAAUCAUAAUGGUUGUGUCGUUUGGCACCAGCUCAUCAAGUGGAACUCAUACAGAAAGGCAAUCAUGAUCAAUUUUAAUAGUUAACAAGGAAAGCCAGCUUACAUCAACUUGGAAGAUUUGGUUACAGUUUGGCACCAGCUCAUCAAAGUACCUCUGUUGUCUUUCACAAUGUAAUCAUCAGAGUCUAAGAGGCAAGAAGAAAGAUGUUGAUGCUCUAUGUCUUGUGUGCGCUCGGUCUGGACAACUUUGUCUUUCACAAUAAGUGAACCAGAUUUUUUGAAGCAACAUAUGAUGACAUUAUGGUUCAACUUUUCUGUACAUAUGAUUUCUUGAAGCAACAUAUGAUGACACUAUGAUUUUUUUCACGAAAUUAUAUAAAUUCUGCACAAAAUAUCAUACUCUAGGAGAGUUUCCUUGUAUACACUCUUUGGCAUAAGCUCUUCAUUAAGUGGAACUUCUACAGAACAUAAUCCGAUCAGUUUAAAAAGGAAUCAAAAAAUAUUUUGAUUUAUCUCUAUUAGCUUUCAGAUUAUCAUAAUUAGACUCUGAGAGGCACAAUGAAAGAUGAUGUGCUUUCACAACGGUUGCUACAGAGUGUUUGUAGAUUACGUUUACCAGGUAAAUAAUUCCUCAGUGAGUUGCCAACAGCCCAGUGGCGUCGACAAUUGUUACAAAGGUGAUGUGGCUGUGACUCAUCGUGAUUGUUAUAGAACUUUCUGGCUGUAGUCUUUUCCUUCGACUUGCAUGACAUGUAGAUACAAAUGACUAAAUUGUUUUAUUAAUAAAGGUUAUAAAGUGAUUCUGGAUUACCUCCACAAGCCCUUGCCCCUUAGUCUGCCACUUACAGUCCAUUUGCGUUGACAAUCUUUACAAAAGUGGCUAAGGCUUUGAGUUAUCACGAAUUUGAUAGUAGGCAAACUUCGUAUUCCAAGCGUAGGCAUUUCAUUUGUACCCGAGCGUGAUCAGGCAUCCAAGCUUGAUUAGCCACAGAACUUUCUGGCAGUCGUCUUUUCCUUCCUCCUGCAUGACAUGAAGAUACUUGUGAUUAAAUUGCUUCAUUACCUCCGAGAGGCAAUAGUCUACUGCCACCUACACUCCAUUGGCGUCAACAAUGGUUACAAAAAUGGCAUUGCAAUCCUUUUCUUUCUCCUAGAUGAUCUCUUACUACGUUGUAAAAAGCGCCUCAGUUUCGAGGUGGUUUAUACUUAUUUAUUUAUUAUAAUUCCUAUUACCCUUUAUACAUUUUCUAUACAGUAAUAAAAAGGUACUAUGAUAAUUUUGAAAAAUGGGAUAUAGAUUUUAUGAUCGAGAUGGGAACCGGAACCAAGACCCAUUGGAAUUGGAGGCAGAUCAUAAGGGAUUAGAAAAAUCUUCUCAAUGCAGAAGACCAUAGCAGUAGCAGUACACUUGUUAUCCCUCUAUGGCUCUAUACACAAUAAUGUUUGUUUGAAGACCAUAGCAGUGGCAGUACACUUUGUUAUCCCUCUACACGCAAUGUUUAUACAAAUAAUUUCUUUGGUUAACUUCAAAAUCUCACAAUCCCACACAUUUUCUUCUCACAAUCCAGAUUAGCUUAACAUAAUUUCUUCUCAUAAUCCAGAUUAGCUUAACAUAAAACCAACAGCUAGAUACCAAGCGUCCAAGCUUGGAAAACAACAAUAAACAAAACCCGAAAACAAAUUUAAUGGAAAAGUGGAAAAUUUUGAAGUAGAGUACGGAAAGGUGAAAUUUUUCUCAAACAAAACGGAACAGCCUGCCUGCGAACAGACUACAAACUGUGAAGUCUUAUAUGAGGCAUUGAGGCCUAUUAUUCCUACAUUCAGAAACCAUCUGUAAAAUCAUUCAGAAACCAUCGCUAGUGAAUAAUGAUUAUUUCGUGCUUGUCAUAUAAUCAUAUAUAAUGCAUUCAGUGGUUACUAAGCACAACAAUAGCUGAUUGAACAACCCACCAGUUUGAACUCAUGAACAACUUCUGACAGCAUAAUUGAGUAUUAUAUACGACCCAAUUGAAGUUUUAUUUAAGUGCGCAAUCAGUUGAUUAUUUCAACUUUGUGUUUUACGAAUCCAAUUGCAUAACAUUACCGCGAGAAAUUCAACAUGUUGAGCAGAUAUACUGAGUAGUGUAUAUGUAACUAAUAAUAACUCAUUUUUCAGGCAACAUCAAUUUAUCUGCAUUUGGUCCUACCCUGAAAAAAAAAGAUAACUGAUCAUCUUGAUUCAUUCAUUAAACAGAAUGUCUGUGCUCAAAUGUUGGUUCACAUUGACAUACACUAUAAGUAAUAACCGGGUCAGAACUGCUUGCUGUUUCUGAACCAUCCACAACAAAAACAUACCCAAAAUUCUGACAGGACACCUCUAUAGUUGUUAUGUUCAACAUGCAAUUUUGCUCUUCAUAGCGCCCUUUGUUGUUCACUAUCUCUUGCAUUAAUGUAAAAAUCAUUGGAAGUAUUGCAUUUCUUCACACAAGAUGAAUUAUCAACUACAUUUGGUAGCUCAGGGGAUUUGAGGCUUCUAGCAGCAUCACUCAGAUUGACUUUUUCAUUUGCCACCAUCAAAGUGAAAUUCUACAAAUUAAAAUGCAUUGAUGAUCAGGCUAUUUAGUCUUAGAAUGACACCACAAACUGAUUUAUAUUACCUUCACUGUCUUUCUCUAUAUGAGAACUGAACUUUUCAAUUCACACAUAUACAGGUUGAUGCUCCUGCGCAGAAUAGCUGAAUGAUGUUGAGUAUUCUGUGUGGACUACUUCUAAUGCUUCGUUGCUGGCAACAUUGCUUUCAAAACCUACAAAAUAACAUAGAUUGUACAUGCCCAUAAAUGACCUUUGUUGUCUUUUACUACAAGUGAACCAAGCUUGUAAAACAAAAAUAAACCAAACCCAAGUUUUGAAAACAAAGAUAAUGGAGAAAAACCAAACAUAACACUAAAAUGUACAAGGAAAUAGAAGUAGUACUGUAGUAGUACCUCUACAAGUUUCUAGAUAUUUUUAUUGUUUUGUUUGGUGAAAACUGGACACUCUUUUUUAAAGUUUCCUGUGAAAAUUGUCUGUCUUUUCUUUAUUUUCUGUGAAAUUCCCCCUAAAACAACUUUCCCCCCUCAAAAUUUCUUCCAAUACAACAUUUCCUUCUCAAUUGCCUUCAAAAUAACUUUUCCCUCUCAAACUCCCGCGAAACAAAAAAUCUAAAAAUUUAUCUUGGAGAGGGGAAUGUUUCCAGCUGUACUGUCAUUGAAUGUUUAUACAGACACUUUCUUUGGUUAACUUCAAAAUCUUACGAUCCAACUACAUUUUCUUCUCAUAAUCCACUGUAGCAUAACAUGAUUGUACCUUCAAAAUAGAGUUAUCAUAAAAGUCUCAUGCUAUACACCUAAACCACUAAACCAGCAUUGUAGAACAGUCUCCACCAACAUGGAAAGGCCUAAUAUUCCUCCAUUCUUUAAUUCUUUACCUUAUUUACUCUUUUAUAACUGAAAAGAUCAUUCAAAAAAUAUGGGCAGUAAAUAAUGAUUAUUUCCUUGGUUUCAUAUGUAGUGCAUUUAAGAUCUAUAUCUCGUGGCCAAUCAAAAAAUUCUGCAACAAAACCACUCAUUCCAGGCAAUGCAUUGAGUACGAAGCUUGACGAAAUGACGAUAUUGUAUAUAGCUCAUUGCCUCAUUGCAACCCACCAGCUUAAACUCAUGAAUAACAACUCAAGGUGAUCAUCAAUUUACUAACACACUUAACCAUGAUUGCAGUAUUUUUUUAACAACUCAAGGUGAUCAUCAAUUUAAUAACACACUUAACAAAGGUGAUCUUACGCUCACUGUCAUGUACAAAAUCAAUAUAGAUGCACCUCCAUUACACAACAUUCGAUCUAUUGUGAUCCUGGUUUGAGACCAGCAUGCAGUGCACUCAUUUCAUGGUGAGUGAUGACUAUACAUAUCAGCAUGCAUCUAAUGGAAAAGCAGAAAUUUCCUUGUAAUUACAUUAGACCAUAUUGACGAGGACAUACAGCCAUCGCUUUGGAUAUCAAUAGUGGAAUACUAUAUUCAUACUUCAACUCUGUUUUUAACAACUUCAACUGUAGAAUAUGACGAGAAAUUGAACAUGUUGAGAAGACACAUUUAAGUAGCUUACAGACUUGGGAAGAAUUAAGUGUCUGCAUUGUAGUAUCUGUCUAUGCAUAGAAUAUUCAACAUGCAUGUUUUCAGAAGAAAUUGUUAACAUGUAUAUAACUAACAAUAACUCGCUAUUUAGGACAUGUAAAUUACCGGAAUAUUUAGUGUUGCCAUGCAUCGGGUUAUCUGUGCUCAAAUGUUGACUCACGCAUUAACACCAUCUGUUGGGUUUACAACCAUUACUAUAGUCUUUUUUUUUUCCCUCCAUGACAACAUUAAUCUACUUCAAGGAGUUAGCGGGUCAGGAUUGUUUGUUCUCCGGACCAUUCCAACAAGCAACACAAUUCUAAUAGGGAGCCAUUACGCAAUAAUAUGAGAAGUACAAUACUAAAGAAAUGUUGCUUAGAAAUAUGUCUUUGUAAACCUAUUGCAUGCAAAGUAGAGUUUCUUUUCAACAGCACAAUUUUAAUGAAAUUAAGAAAAAAUCGGAUGAAAUUAAUCCACGAAGAAUGAUGAGUACUCACCAAGGAGCUGCAACCAAUGUAUCGAAGUUCGAUGUUGCUGCCAGAAUGCUUUCUUCAAUUUGCUCUGAAGUCCUUUGUAGUUCAGCUACUCUGAAGGCUUCCUUCUCUUUCUUCUCCUUGAGCAAUUGGAGGUCUUUGUCCAACAACGCAAUUGAUUCUAGUCCCUCAGUCACCUCCCUGGUUGUUGUCUUCAACAUGCAAUUAUGCUGUUCAUAGCGCUCAUUGAUUUGUAGCAAUUUAACCAAUUGAUUUCGUAUUGGCUCAACAGUGAAACCAUACCCUUCUAACUGGAGUGCGUCCAACUUAACAUCAAACAUGCUUCUAGAAUCGUCAAGCUGGGCUUUCCGUGUAACUGCAAUCAACUUUGUGAAACUCACCAUGAGCCCUAUGGCCGCCCCUUCACGGAGAUACUCAUCCUGUUCCUUUUCAGCUUUUAAGUUCAGUUUCCAACUGAUGAUCACACUUAGAAUUUUUUGCAGUAACCUUUUAAAUUACUGUGUGAACAAGAUUCUUCAUAGUGAGUUGAGCUGGCGAUUUGUCAUUGCUUUGGUGUUUUUCCUUUCGACAGGUUGUCUUGUUCAUGAACCUAUUUCCCUGAUCAACCAGGGCCUGGAUGAAGAUGCCGAGGAAACCCUCUGAUAUCUCUGUGACUCACCGUGGCACAAAUGACAUUGUCAAGGAGUUUGAUGAUUCAGUGGAAGUGAAUAGAGUCAUUACAUUGUGGAGAGAGGUGGAAAACAAUAUUCAAAGGAGAAGUACAGGCCUUAGUGCUGGCAUUUGUGCGCUAUUCCAUUUAUCCAACAAUUUACUUGCAAAAAUGUUAUUAUUCUUGAAGUGCGAUUAACAUGACAUUGUAUUAAGGCUGGAGUCAGUAUGUUUUUCACUUUUGUAAUUGCUCAGUUUUUUCUUGCAUUGGCAUGUUUUGCAAGCAGUUCAAGUUUGGCAUCUUCUACUUUUUUGCUGCCUAUGGUUUUUGUCUUUCUAUUUCGAUCUUGCCUGAGACGAAGGAUAUUCCAAUUGAAGAAACGCCCAAGGUGUGGAGGCAACAUUGGUUCUGGAAAAGACACAUUGCUGAUGAGUUAGAAGUAGUUUGAAGUUUGAACUCCAGACUUUUUGGGUUUGCAAAAUGUAUUGUUUAACUUCAAACACAAGUUUUAUCAGUCGUAAGCAUUUGUGUCUACAGGCUAAAAAACAUUAAUUAAAAAAAUUGGAUAAGAAAAUUAAUUUUCUUAUAAAUAAAAUAGUCUAAAAUUAAAAUAGUACCCUCUUUCACACACUUUCUUACUGAACAUGGAGUGAAUACUGAAUAGGCAUCUCAUUUGGAUUAGAUUAUCCCUCUAUACACAUUGUUUAUACAUACACUUUCUUUGGUUACCUUCAAAAUCUUACAAUCCCACAACAGUUUCUUCUCAUAAUCCAGCUUAGCAUAACAUAAAACCAGCAUUGUAGAACCAACAUGGAAAGGCCUAGUAUUCCUCCAUGCUUCACCUUUCUUACUCACUUUAUACUCCAACUGAAAAAAAAAUAUCAUUCAAAAACCUUGUAUUCAUACGUAGAGCAUUUAUCGGGUACUAAUCUCAACAAUACUGUAUUACUGUAUAUAACUCAUGAACAACCCACCAGCUUAAAACUCAUGAAUAACAAACUCAAGGUGAUCAAUUUAUUAACACACUUUUACCAGAUCGAAGUGUGUACAAAAUAUACAUAGGUGCACCUCCAUUACACCACAUUCUAUGGUGAUCCUGGGUUGAGACCAGCGUGGCGUGCAAUUUUUUUAAGGGUGAGUGGUGAUUAUACAGAUCAGCAUGCAUCUUUAUGGUAAAGACGAAACUUCCUUGUGACUCAGGAUAAUCCAUACUUGUCGAGGACUGCCAUCUUCUUUGUAUAUCAAAGUAGUGGUGUGUUGGUUCUGUAUAAAACUUGCUUGUUUACUUUCACACACACAGUAGCGUGAAAGCCAUUGCACUUGCUUGAAAAAAUUGUAAUGAAAAAAAUUCUAUUUAUUAUGGAAUACAGCGACUGAUACUAGAAGAAAAUAUAUGUUUCUAAUAUGGAAUACUGUAUUCACAUUUCCUGUACACACCCUCGAGUUGGUUUGUUGUUUUCAACUCUGUUUUUGACGACCAACCGCAGAAUGUGGUGUGAAAUUGAACUUGUUGAGAAGACAUAUUUGAGUAGCGUACAGACUUGGGGAGACUUAAAAUGUUUGCAAUUUAAUAUAUCUGUCUAUGCAUGAAAAAUUCAAUAUGUUUUCAAAGAAAUUGUUAGCAUGUAUGAUGUACAGCAUGUAACUAAUAAUAACUCACUUUUUAGGACUCCUACAUUACCGGAAUACGUAGAGUUCCCACACAUACGGAAACUGAACAUCUUGGUUCAUGCAAUAUCGGUGCUCAAAUGUUACCUUGCGCAGUCCCGCGUGAAUACCAUCUGUUGGGUUUUUUGCCAUUACUAUAGUCUAAAAAAAUAUUUCUUUUCAUGACAACAAUAAUCUACUUUAAGUAGUUGGCAGGCCCAGAAUUGUUUGCUGUUCAAGGAACCAUUCCAUGCACAAACAACCCAAAAUUCUAACAGGGGGGCAUUACCCAAUAAUAUGAGAAGUACAAUACUAAAGAAAUGCUGCUUAGAAACAUGUCUUUGUAAACCUAGUGCCUUCAGCCUUCAUAGUAGAGUUUAUUUUCAACUGUACAACAUUCAUAAAAAAAAAUAAAAAAUAUUCCGAUGAAAAUAAUCCAUGAUGAUUGAUGAGUACUCACCAAGGAGCUGCAACCAAUGUAUCAAAGUUCGAUCUUGCUGCUUGAAUACUUUCUUUGAUUUGCUCUGAAGUCCUUUGUAAUUCAGCUACUCUGAAGGUUUCCUUCUCUUUCUUCUCCUUGAGCAAUUGGAGGUCCUUGUCCAACAGCGCAAUUGAUUCUAGUCCCUCAGUCACCUCCCUG
rnacentral:lncRNA from 1 species